rnacentral:lncRNA from 1 species
GGGGACCACCCUUCAAGAGACCCUCACCCAGCCCAUCAGUGCCCAAGAGAGGCAGGCAUCCAACUGCACCAUCUCCCUCUCCUUCCCCAUGCAGCUCCCUCUGAAUGAUGAUCAGUGAGGCCCUGCAAGACAGCCUCCCGAGGCCGAGCCACCGAGCUACAGGACGAAGAUGAUCUUUCUGGGCUCCUGAUGUCCAGACCCUGUCUUGUCUUUCAGCAUGUUCAGAAUACCUGUGGCUGCUGUGGGCAGAGAGGAGGUACCGGGGAAGUCCUGGCAGACUUAUCUAUCGGCAGAGAGACUGAGUCUCCAUGCCACCCCAAUUCCCCCUGCCCUUUUGACUGAGCUCUGAACACAAGUUAGAGGAGCUGGGGGAAAGCUCCAAGCAGUCAAUACAUCAACCAGUGAGCACGUGACAUGUCCUGUCUCGUGCUCAGCGCUGGGGAGGACAUCCCCACAAAUAUCACAGCUCAAAUUCACUGGUUGGGAAGGCAAGACUCACAGGCAGAGAAGAGUCAAAAAACUAUUAAAGAGGCCCCUGGCAUAGUCUGAGGAGCCCUGGAUAGAGGUAAGACCAGAGUUCUAUCCCCAGGCCUCAGGCCUGAAGCAGGUCCCUGUACUUCCAAAAGCUCCAGCUACACCAAGUUAUAGACAACUUCUCAUGGCCUGGAUUGUGGAUGGCAGUGGCGCAUCUGAUUGAUGGGUACUGAUGCCUGGAGCACUGUGCUGAGGAGGAAUCCGAGGCAGCAGCAAGUUUAGUAGGACUGUGAUGGCCAACCGGCGAGGCGAGCGCUUCCGGCCCCAGCAGUUCUCGGACCUGGGGUAGUUUCCUCCCCGCAAGUAACAAAGGAGGACAAGCCCCAGCUUCUCUAAGAUGCCUUCAGCUGCCUGGAAGAGGCCUGUGGAAGGCCCUGCAACUCUCCGCAGACCUCUGGGCAUUGCUGCUGCUUCUCAGUGCCCCUCGUCCCCUCAGCCAGGUGAGUCACCAUCAUCCUCGCUCCUCCCAGACCCGAAACCUCUCCUCUCCCAUCCUUCCUUCUCUUUGUAUCUCUUUCCGUUUAAACACGCGAACGAACGCGUGUCCACACACGCAUAUCAUUUCGG